UCACCGUGUUAGCCAGGAUGGUCUCGAUCUCCUGACCUCGUGAUCCGCCCGCCUCGGCCUCCCAAAGUGCUGGGAUUACAGGUGUGAGCCACCGCGCCCGGCCUAAGGCUGUACAAGAAGCAUGGCAUCAGCAUCUGCUUCUGGUGAUGCCUCAGGCUGCUUCCACUCAUGUUGGAAGGAAAAAGGGAGGCUGCAUGUGCAGAGAUCACACGGUGGAGGAAGCAAGAGAGAACAACUGGAUACUUCAAUAGACUGCUGGACUAGUUUCUAGCUGGAAAUCACGUAUGGAAGCUGAGUCACCUCCGUUUCUCUUGGAGCCUGGGCUGGCUGUCACCGAGACCUUGCUCGUUAUGCAGACUCAUUCACAUGCAUACCCAAAGCAACACUUAAUGGUCGUGGAAGACUUCCAUCCUCACAGGUCAUGAAAUGCGUCUGCACUGGAAUACUUGUUGUUUAUCACCUACACUAAGGAUUUACAAUGGCCUAAGUGUUGUAUUUCUAGUGACUGUAUUCUGAAUCAAAAAGUCCUGCCUGGAAGCAAGGACAACUUCUUUAUUCACAUGGAGAAUGAUAGCAGGUAAAGGGCAAAAAUUUAACAACAACAACAAAAAAAUCCCUCUUUUCGUGUGUGCAGAAUAAAAGUCU